AUACGGAAGGUCCGGGCGUUAUCCGGAUUUAUUGGGUUUAAAGGGAGCGCAGGCGGAGAUGCAAGCGUGACGUCAAAUUUCGGGGCUCAACCCCGUCUCGCGUCGCGAACUGCGUCCCUUGGUUGCGGGAAGGGGAGGCGGAACUCGUGGUGUAGCGGGGGAAUGCAUAGAUAUCACGAAGAACUCCGAUCGCGAAGGCAGCCUUCCGGCCCGUCAACGACGCUCAUGCUCGAAGGUGCGGGUAUCAAACAGGAUUAGAUACCCUGGUAGUCCGCACAGUAAACGAUGGACACCCGCGGUUUGGCCUGUAUGGCUGAGCCGCCAAGCGAAAGCGUUAAGUGUCCCACCUGGGGAGCACGCCGGCAACGGUGAAACUCAAAGGAAUUGACGGGG
rnacentral:rRNA from 1 species